UACGGAGGAUGCAAGCGUUAUCCGGAUUCAUUGGGUUUAAAGGGUGCGCAGGCGGAUUGGUAAGUCAGUGGUGAAAUUCUAGUGCUUAACAUUAGAGCUGCCAUUGAUACUGUCAGUCUAGAGUAUAGUUGGAGUGGGCGGAAUGUGUCAUGUAGCGGUGAAAUGCUUAGAUAUGACACAGAACACCGAUCGCGAAGGCAGCUCACUAAGCUAAAACUGACGCUCAUGCACGAAAGCGUGGGGAUCAAACAGG
rnacentral:rRNA from 1 species